UAAAUAAUUUAUUUUAUUAUAAAAUUUUAUUAAAUUAAAAAAAUAUAUGAAUUUUUUUUAAAGUUAAUUUUAUUCUUAAAGAAUUUAAUUAAUUCUCAGUAUUAAAUAUUAAAUAUUAAAGAAAUUUAGAUUUAAUUAUUAAUUUUAGUAUAAACUAAAUAUGUGCCAGCAGUUGCGGUUAAACAUAUUAUACAAAUAAAAUAGUUUGGUUAAUAGUAUUUAAAUAUUUUUUAUAAUUAAUUUUUUAAUAAAAGGUAAAAUUUAAUUUAAAAUUAAAAUUAUAAUUAUUUUAUUCUAUUAAAUUUUAUUUAAAACUAGGAUUAGAUACCCUAUUAUAAAAAUUUAAAAUUAUUACUAAAAAAUUAAUAGUUAUGUUCUUUAAAUUUAAAAAAUUUGGCGGUAUUUUAGUCUUAUUAGAGGAACCUGUUUUUUAAUUGAUAAUCCACGAUUAAUUUUACUUAUUUUAAAAAUUUAUAUAUCGCUGUCAUGAAUAUAUUUAAAAAAUUUAUUUUCUUUAAUUAAUUUAUUAAUUUAUGUUAAGUCAAGAUGUAGUUUAUAAAUAAGAAAAUAAUGGGUUACAUUAAAUUAUAUUUUUGGAUUUAAAAUGAAAAUAAAUAUGAAAUUGAAUUUAAUAGUAAAUUUAUUUAUUUAAAUAAUAUGAAUAUAGAUCUAAAAUAUGUACAUAUUGCCCGUCAUUCUUAUAAAAAAUAAGACAAGUCGUAACAAAGUAAAUGUACUGGAAAGUGUAUUUAGAAAGAUA
rnacentral:ncRNA from 1 species